UACGGAGGGUGCAAGCGUUAUCCGGAUUCACUGGGUUUAAAGGGUGCGUAGGCGGGCAGGUAAGUCCGUGGUGAAAUCCCCGAGCUUAACUCGGGAACUGCCAUGGAUACUAUUUGUCUUGAAUAUUGUGGAGGUAAGCGGAAUAUGUCAUGUAGCGGUGAAAUGCUUAGAUAUGACAUAGAACACCAAUUGCGAAGGCAGCUCACUACACAAUCAUUGACGCUGAGGCACGAAAGCGUGGGGAUCAAACAGG
rnacentral:rRNA from 1 species